CCAUCAGAAAGACUCAAAUCAAAUUAUCAUAUUAUGAAUGAUAAUUUCAUUAGUCAAUAAGUACCAGGCCUUUGGGCCUCCAAUGAUUAUUAAACUAAUGGACUCAUUAUCACUCACUUAAUGGGAAGCUAUGACUUAGUUAUCAAUAUAACUUAAUCAUUUUUAGGGACCUAAUAAUUUUUGAGGAUUUUAUUAAAGGAUAGAUGAGAAGAAAAAAUCUAGCUAAUUUCAAUCCUCCCACUGACUUUACCAAGUCAGAUUAAAAAAAAAGAUUUAAUUAAAGCUGGCAUUAGGAGCACCUAAAUCAGUCAAACUGAUUUACCUAAUGACAUGGGUGAGCCCUAAUCACCAAGUGAUCUAAUCAAAAUCUAAUUCACCAGGUUGGCCAGGUAAGUGAGAUCAGUGGUGGGGAUAAGCCAUUAACUCGUCAGAGAUCGAAUUACUGUGAGUAGCUCCCGCUUAAAAACCACUGGUCAAACUGCCAAAC
rnacentral:lncRNA from 1 species